rnacentral:sRNA from 1 species
GACUUCAAAUACUCUUUGUCCUGCCCCUGCUUGGCGAAAUUUACCGAAAUUAUCUACCUAUCCCGCUGGAGUGGGAGCCGGGGGAGAGCUGGAACCGCGUCUCUGCUGCUCACCUUUGUGUCCUUAGCUCCUUCGCAUGGGGUCCGACCGCAACACGUGCGCUGGAUAAACGCUUGUUAACUGGGUGAGAGCCAAGGCCUGUUCUUUCCACUUCUGGGGCUGUGACUUGAGUUUCUCCGCAGGAGCAGAUAGUGUUUGUGUAGGGACUGCGGACUUUUGCAUUACAGCCUCCCUGCUUUGCCCGCCUGCUGCUGGAAGCUUAGCAGGUAAAAGUCUUGCAGUGAAAAACCCGAGGACCCUUACCGCAAGUGUCUUUUGCUCCCAGCUACUGAUACUGGAUUCCACUCGUGAUUCUCCCUUUCUUAGCGCAUUCAUGAUAUAGACAUCAGUCUCUGAGCUGGAGGAGGACAAAGGCAGCGGUCCUGUGAAUUCUAUGCUCUAGCUUGGGUUAAGGGAUUUGGAAUUGCACUUGUUUCAGAGAGCUCCCUCUUUGCCCACUAGCAGGGCAUUAGCUGGUGCUGAAGACAGUGGCUGCUUGGCGAGCCUGGAUCUCCAAGUGACCCCCUCAGCAACUCCUGAUGAACAGGACUGAAGCCAAUAUUAAAGCAAGUCAACCAAAGGUUCUCUGGUGUAGACAAGACAGCAAAAGGACAGACUACCUUGUGGAACCUAGCAUUGUUCUCCUUCUGCAGCACUAAGUAACAUUUGUUCUCCGUUAAGAUCUUUGCAAACCACACACAAGAAUUGCUGGUCAUCCUGCCAAUAGAUGCUGCUCACAGAACCAAAUUUCCUGUGCUGAAUUGUCACUCAUGGGCUUGAGAGUAGGAGACUGGAGACCAAGGUGGCUAGAAUCCAGUUGGGCCUGAUGUCUCCCUGUUGAAAGGGCUCCUUGUGGAAUGAAUAGCACAUGGCUCCUGUGGUGGAUCUGAUAGUGGCAUAGCACCAAGUGAUGCAGGCCUGCCAGGGGCCACAGACACAGAAGAUGCUCCCGGGGUCCCCCAUGUACUCCAGACACACUGCAGGCCACCUCUCCCAGCAGGUUGCCAGUCAUGGGCCCCAUCAUCAUGACUUCUGUCCAAGGUGUGCUCGGAAAUCUCUUCCUUAACUGUGACUUUCUGACAGGUGGAGGAUGUGGUCAGGAGUGGGAAAAGGAUUCGAGACGGGAAGAGGGAGGGGUUCAGGAUGAAGAGAGAUAAUCUGUGCCACAGAUGCUGGCCCUGCAGUUAGCUCCCACCUAGUCCGUGCACACACAUUCUAAUCCCCUCCCAUUCCUUUACAUGCUGCGGCCAGAGAGGCCUUUCUCAAAGUGGAAGUCUCAUCCUCACUUCUCUGGUUACAGUGCUGGGCCAUGGUAACUUACAAGGCUUAGCAGGAACUGUCUGCGCACUCCCCCUUCCUGCCCACUACCUUGUUUCCCUCCAGUUGCGAGAGAAAACAUUGAUUGAGCAUUAACUAUGUGCCAGGCUUGUCCUAAGUCCUUUGCAUGUAUUCACUCAAACAAUCCUCACAACAUUCCUAUCACAUCUCCCAUUUCACAGUGAGGGUUCUAAAGCACGUAGUGGGUGAGGAACUUGUCCAGGGUCACACAACUAAGUGGGGGUGGAGAAACAUCAAAUCUAGGUGGUCCAGGUGGUGGCCAGAACCCAUCAGCACCUCACUACAGCUGCCUCCAGUUUCUCGCUCUAGGAAAUACUCUUCCCUGUCAACUCCUGUUGUCCUCUGGGCUCAGUUGACAUGUCAUCUCCUUGAGGAGGACAUCCUGAGAUGCUCCCCGACUAGGGUGGGCACCCACUUCCACACUCCAAAUGCCUAUUUGACCUGUGUAUCGCUGCAUCCCCACUGCCUGGCAGAUAGCAGGCCCCUAAUAAAUAUGAUUUGAGCAAAUAAAUAUAGUUCUUCAAAAAAUAGGGAGGACUUCUUGCUUCAGGUAAUGGUAGGCUAGGACAUUUGGACCAACCCUCCUGCAGAAAAUAGCCAUUUAUUUUGAUGCAAUAUAUCUGGCUAUGACUAGAGAUUUCAAAUAUUUGGAGGGCUAUUAUGUGAAGAACUAAACUUACUCUUUGUGACAUAGAGGUCAGAAAUUGGUCGUUUCCAUAGAGUAUGAGAGAGACAGAAUUGUGCUCAUCAUAAGUAUCUUUUUUAAAAGUUAGACUUAAUAAAAUGGGCUGCCUUGGUAGGUGGUGAGUUCUCUGUCACGAAAGAGAUUCAGCCACUUGCUCUGAGAAAGCAUGGAGAAUAUCAACAUUGUAAGGGUCGACCACCUCAUCUCUGAGGCCCCCUCCUCACUUAGGUUGCCAUUGCAGGUGGAACACUGGGCUGAGUGUCAAAGAACCUGGGUUCCACAAACUGUGCGACCAUGGCUGGUUGUUUUGGAUCUCAUUCCUAAUAUCUGUUAGUUAAGCUGACCCGUCAAUACUGACCCACUUCACAGAGUUAUGAAGGGAUUAAAUUAGGUAUUACAUGUAAAUCUGUUUUGUUUGCUUUUUGUUGUUCUUUUUUGUUUUGCUUUUUUCUUUGCAUUAUGAAAUCCCAAGUCAACUUUUUCCAUUCUUUUAUUUUUUUAAAAAUUGACAUCAUCAUUAUAACCACAAAAUAAUUUUUAAAAUGGAAAAAAAAAACUCACCUGCAACCCCACAAUCUAAUACAAUAAUCAUACUUUUUUCCCUUUAUUCUCCUUUAUUGUGACCAAGGAUGACUUUGGGCAUUGCUGUGAGGAACUAUUUCGUUUAACACCCUACUACCUGAACAUGAUGCGUACUCAGCCUUUCACCACCCCCCAAGUAGCUACACAUGAUGUGAUAAUAGUAUUGGUGGUGGUUUUAGAGAGUUGGAGAGAAAACUGAAGUUGGAUUUGGGUAAAAGAAAAAAGAGUGGGAAUUAUUUUUUCUCCAUUCUAAAGCCCAUAAAGCAAUGUUAAUUGUUCCCACCCCUCUGCUAUUCUGUCUCCUCAGGUACUGUGUGCAGAAAUGUGAUUGAGAUUCAAGUCAGGGCCUCUCUGCCCUUUUCCCUCCAGAAACAAAACCAAGAUAAUUUAUCCUGAACACGGUGAAAAAAGGAAGGGAGGGAGGAGAAAAAGUCCGGGUCUCACCUGGGAUUCUCUGUCUCCUGCAACAUGAAGGAUUUAGCCUGGGAGGAGGUGGUGAGAACUCUGGGAGAGAAAAAAGAAGGAAAGAAUAGUUUUACCCAUGCUGAAGUUAAUUUAAACCUUCACCUAGAGAAGCAAAAAAAAAAAACCCACACUUUCCCAUUUUGUGCCUCCCUUCCUAGAGUUUUAGCCAAAGGUUUAGCUAAGUAAUUGGUUUUACCAGCGCACUCACUCCUCCUAUCCCAAGUCUGUUUGACUCCCUCCCCAUCAUCCUCCUCACCUCUUUUCAGGCAGGGUGGGGAUAGCAGCAGGAGGAGAUUUUGGGAGCCUGGCAACUCCUGCAAGGACCGCAGGACAGCCCCUCUGUGGGGAUGCGUGGUGCCCCAUCUGCCGCCCUUCUGAAGAAUGCACUGCCUUCACUUUUUACUGUGUUAGAGUCCAUCCAGACUGUUCUAUCCAAAAAAGUUUCUUUUUCCCCCACAGGCAAUCAGGAAAUGAUUCCUUUCCCGACUGCUUCUGUCUAGUGCCUGGGAAUCUUGAGUCAAUCCCUCAGUAAGUCAGUGACUAGGGAAAUCCCUCUCUGAGCCUCCCAGUUCAUGUUGCUUAGGGAACCUGAUAUUUUCGUGAAACCUGCCUACACAUGGGCAGCCCAACAGCAGAACAAAUGGUGGUGACCAAAGUGAACAAAGAAGUAUAGUUGUGCCAGCUUCGUAGUUGCCCAUGUGGACAAGUCAGCAGGAUCAGGACACGAGGAAGAGUAAAUGUGAGACAGUCAAUGUGACUUCUGCGAUAAACAGAUUUUUAAACCCCGAAAUUUUGCAAAAUUUUGGUGAAACCUGAACUUUCUUCGUUGCAUAUACUGGCACUAUCUGUACCAUCAUACAACUGUCUCACAUUAAAGCUAUUUUUCUUGGGCACUGAUGAGUAAGGUUGGUAUAAGUUCCUCAGAUCAACAAAAACCCAUUUUCCUGUAAGUCUUACAUUUAGUAUUUAAGGAACUAAAACUUAAAUACAUUUUGUGAAAUGGUUGACACUUCACUGAUAAUGAUUUAUUGCUUGGAUUAAUAAAUUUUCCAAAAGUUGUCUUAUGUAGAAUAUGGUUUGCAACCAGCAGAACCAUUAAUCUAUACUGCAAUGAUAUGCACUAUGUAUAAUUGUUUAAAAGCCUCUACUUAAUGAUGUAAAAUGCUCUAUUUAAUUACACAUUUGGGUAAACUGUAUACUAACAUCUGAUGGCAUUUUUCCACUGUUUGUUGCUUUUUUCAAAUACUUUAUUGUACAAAGCUGUUCUUAAUAUUUUUCAAGUUUUUUUCUUUGAAUUUUGCUAAUGUUUUCCUUGAAUUAUGAGCACUGACAGAAUGUGCUUAGCACUUUUGGCUAUUCACACAGCUUUUGAGCAUGAUUUGCAUCCAAUAUUUACAUUGCUAGCAAUAAUAAGCCAUCUGUGAGUUUUGUCAAAA